AUGCAAGCUGCUCAACGACACACCGCUGGGAGCCUUGCAGGCCCCUGCUGGACCAGGCUGACCCAGGCCUUUGGAGGAAGCCAACCACAAAGGCUGGGGCCUCAGCCUUGUGCCACCUUGACCCUCAAGCCUGCUGCUUCCCUGAGAAGAGAAAGAGGCUUUCUGGGCCUCGUAGUCUUCCUCUUCCUCCAUUCCCAGCCCACGCGUCAUCACCCUACAGCUACCAGCCCUCACCUCUGCCUGUGGGAUUACAGAAACCAAAGGACACAGAAUAGAAGAGAGUGUUCAGGACGUAAAGCUGAGUGACCUGCUGGGCUCCUGCUUCCUCUUCUGUCAGAUGGCAUAGUACCUUCCUUACCUCCUAAGACUGCAAGAAUAAAAUCAGAC
rnacentral:lncRNA from 1 species